ensembl:lncRNA
UGACGAGUCGUCGUGAGUUAACGAUAUCUUUUUCUUGACGCACUUUCGGUUAUUUUCUGGGGAGAGAACGGGUUAUUUAGGGAUGCACCAAUCCGAUAAGAACAGUUUAUUUAUUGGAUUGUGCAUCCCUGGUUUAAGUAUUCGUUCAUAUUUUUGCUUUACUUUACUUGUGUUAUGUUUUGAGGUUUUUUUGUUGUUGUUGUUGUUGUUAUUGUUUUUGUUGUUUGUUUUUUUUUUUUUUUACAAAGCCGUACCUUGGGAUGAACAAUCCUGUCGGCAUCAUUUCCUGUUUGCUGAUUUCCUGAUGUUGUGAAGCAGUGCUGCGUUGUUGUAGUUCGAUAUGCACUUUUAGCUGUUUGCUGGAGAAAAAUAAAAACCGAAACCGUGUCAUUCACUCUAUCCUGUACAGAACACUCGGCUCGGACGCCGUCCCGCUCACAGCGGGCGCAGUGCGGUAAUCGAGACAGGUUUGCGAUGUCUGUGUGUGUGUAAGGGUUUAGUGAGUAAAAAGCUUCCUUUACCCGUGCAAACCUCGACAAACUCACAUCAGACACCAAACACGGAGUUCCAGCAGGAUCACCGGAACGUUAAAUGAACAGCUCUGCAUUUGUGUAAAAACACGUGAUCGCUGAACUCGUGCACGGUUUAGAAUAUUCGCUUUAAGUUCCUGGUCGAUAUUCAGCUUUCAGCACAUUACUCACGUUAUAAAAAUGCAGGUGGGAAACAUUUUAAGGGGAAAUAUUCCAGGUACUCAGUAAAAAAAAAUUCCUCUACCUGUUUUCUGUACCUGUUAGAUUUCCCGGAGUAUUUAUCACCUGUUUUCUUUGUUUCGCAACUACAGAAAAAAUAACGUUCCAACUUUUACGCUGCUUAAUUUUUAUUUUAAUGUUUUCCAGCAUCGUUUAAAAUUAUUAUUAUUAUUUUUUAAUCACAUAAACAUGGGUUCUGGUUCUGGUUCUGGUUCUGGUGGAUCUGACUCCACGCCAUAUAAAGGUUUUAGGUUGAUCACCACAUCACUGAGGUUCGGUGGGGAAAAAGAAGUAAAGUAGAUUUAUAGCUAAUAUCUCCUCUUAUCUAUGUGUCAUUGCAUCUUAA